GCGAAAGUAGCUCAGUGGUAGAGCAUCACCUUGCCAAGGUGAGGGUCGCGGGUUCAAAUCCCGUCUUUCGCUCUA
rnacentral:tRNA from 1 species